rnacentral:rRNA from 1 species
GACGAACGCUGGCGGCGCGCCUAACACAUGCAAGUCGAACGAGCGAGAGAGAGCUUGCUUUCUCGAGCGAGUGGCGAACGGGUGAGUAACGCGUGAGGAACCUGCCUCAAAGAGGGGGACAACAGUUGGAAACGACUGCUAAUACCGCAUAAGCCCACGACCCGGCAUCGGGUAGAGGGAAAAGGAGCAAUCCGCUUUGAGAUGGCCUCGCGUCCGAUUAGCUAGUUGGUGAGGUAACGGCCCACCAAGGCGACGAUCGGUAGCCGGACUUAGAGGUUGAACGGCCACAUUGGGACUGAGACACGGCCCAGACUCCUACGGGAGGCAGCAGUGGGGAAUAUUGCACAAUGGGGGAAACCCUGAUGCAGCGACGCCGCGUGGAGGAAGAAGGUCUUCGGAUUGUAAACUCCUAUUGUUGAGGAAGAUAAUGACGGUACUCAACAAGGAAGUGACGGCUAACUACGUG